UGUGCAAAAUAACCAAUAACCAUGAACCAAUUUCCUAUCCAAAUUAAUCCAAACAUUAAAACCCAACCCAAAAUUAUAUUUAAAAAUUGGUGAUCCAUUUAUCAAAUUAAAAAAAAACCGGUAACCAUUAUUACAAACCGGUUCAGGUAAACGGUUACCAUUUUUCAAUAAUCAUUUCAAAUCCCUAAUUCUCAAAUUUCAGAAUCCCUAAUUCUCAAAAAUCCAAAUUUUUUUCAUCUUUUUUUUCUCUUCAUCAUUCUUCAAAUUCUAAACUCAUCAAAACCUGCAUCGUGAAACAAAGAUUGUCUGGUGUAUCUUCUACCAAAUCCCUACCCUAACCCUUUCUUCUCAAACCCUCAACUUGCAACUCAGAAUCUAUUUUAAGUUGCAUUGGUAGGUGAAUUUUUUAUAUCUACUUUUCUUUUCCUUUCAAUUCCAUUAUUAAUUUAUUUUACUUUUUUAUCCCUCUAGAUCUGGUGUUCACGAAAUUCAUCUAUAAUUGGCUUGUUUAUUUUGUUUGAGAGGUUUAUAGGUUAAGCUUAAUGUGAUUAGGAACACAUAAAUUGUUUGGGAAAUUAACAAAGUGAUUUACAGUUUCUUUCUUUGCUGUGAAAUUGAAUUCAAGGAGAUGAUCGGAGGCUGUGGCAGGAUCAGCAGCAUAGCUUGGUAGAAGUCUGUCUUGUGUAUGUGUACAGAGAAGAGAUAGUGAUGCUUCUAGCUUUUUUGAUUUAACUCUAGCCCAGAAUCAAGAUGACUAAUGUUGGUACAACUUAUGCAACAUCCGAGAAUACAGUUUCAACCCCUCCACCUACAAUCUCUAAUGAAAUGCCACCUCCUCACACUAAGAAGCGAAAGAAUCGUUCAGAGGUUUGGAAGCAUUUCAUUGUAUCGUCGGAAGAAGAACAAAAAGCUUCGUGCAAAUACUGUGACACGAAAAUUAAGUAUAAUAAUGGAACUAGUUCCAUGCAUGCUCAUGUAUCGAGAUGCCUUGUUUACAAGAGGCAAAGGACAUUAUCUUCUACGACAAGUGUUGAAGAACAUGUUGGCUCUCCUUUAAUUGUCAAGUUUGACCAAGAAGCCAUUAGAAGAGCAAUGGUUAAGAUGUUCAUAAACAUGGAGAUUCCUUUUCGGAAGGUUGAACAUGAGUCUUUUCAUGAAUUUAUGAGUCUCGCAUCACCAAGAUUUCAGAUUUGUUC